rnacentral:rRNA from 1 species
GUUGGCGGGGUAACGGCCCGCCAAGACCGCGAUCGGUAGCCGGCCUGAGAGGGCGGACGGCCACAUUGGGACUGAGACACGGCCCAGACUCCUGCGGGAGGCAGCAGUGGGGGAUAUUGCACAAUGGGGGGAACCCUGAUGCAGCGACGCCGCGUGGGUGAGGAAGUACCCCGGUAUGUAAAGCCCUUUCGGCAGGGAAGAAAAUGACGGUACCUGGCGAAGAAGCCCCGGCUAACUACGUGCCAGCAGCCGCGGUAAUACGUAGGGGGCAAGCGUUAUCCGGAUUCACUGGGUGUAAAGGGAGCGCAGGCGGUACGGCGAGUCUGAUGUGAAAACCCGGGGCCCAACCCCGGGACCGCACCGGAUACUGCCGGACUCGAGUGCCGGAGGGGCAGGCGGAAUUCCUGGUGUAGCGGUGAAAUGCGCAGAUAUCAGGAGGAACACCGGUGGCGAAGGCGGCCUGCUGGACGGUAACUGACGCUGAGGCUCGAAAGCGUGGGGAGCGAACAGGAUUAGAUACCCUGGUAGUCCACGCCGUAAACGAUGAAUACCAGGUGUCGGCGGGCACGGCCCGCCG